GAUGAACGCUGGCGGCGUGCCUAAUACAUGCAAGUCGAGCGAACAGACGAGUAGUUUGCUCCUUUCACGUUAGCGGCGGGCGGGAGAGUAACACGUGUAUAACCUCCUUAUCAUACUGGGAUAACUUCGGGAAUCCGGAGCUAAUCCCGGAUGAUAUAUUUAACCGCAUGGUUCUAUAGUGAAAGACGGUUUUGCUGUCACUUAUAGAUGGAUCCGCGCCGCAUUAGCUAGUUGGUAAGCAAACGGCUUACCGAGGCAACGAUGCGUAGCCGACCUGAGAGGGGGAUCGGCGACACGGGAGCGUAGACACGGUCCAGGCUCCUGCGGGAGGGAGCAGUCGGGAAUCGUCCGCAACGGGCGAGAGCAUGGCGGAGCAGCGCCGAGUGAGAUAUGACGGUGUUCGGUUCGUAAAACUCUGCUAUUAGGGAAGAACAAAUGUGUAAGUAAAUAUGCACGUCGUGACGGUACCUAGUCAGGAAGCCACGGCUAACUACGUG
rnacentral:rRNA from 1 species